GAUGAACGCUGGCGGCGUGCUUAACACAUGCAAGUCGAACGAUGAAGCCCAGCUUGCUGGGUGGAUUAGUGGCGAACGGGUGAGUAACACGUGAGUAACCUGCCCUUGACUCUGGGAUAAGCCUGGGAAACUGGGUCUAAUACUGGAUAUGACUUCUCAUCGCAUGGUGGGGGGUGGAAAGAUUUAUUGGUCUUGGAUGGACUCGCGGCCUAUCAGCUUGUUGGUGAGGUAAUGGCUCACCAAGGCGACGACGGGUAGCCGGCCUGAGAGGGUGACCGGCCACACUGGGACUGAGAGACGGAGCAGACUCCUACGGGAGGCAGCAGUGGGGAAUAUUGCACAAUGGGCGCAAGCCUGAUGCAGCGACGCCGCGUGAGGGAUGACGGCCUUCGGGUUGUAAACCUCUUUCAGUAGGGAAGAAGCGAGAGUGACGGUACCUGCAGAAGAAGCGCCGGCUAACUACGUG
rnacentral:rRNA from 1 species